rnacentral:lncRNA from 12 species
AUGAUCUGUUCUGUGCUCCUUAUCCUGAAAAAGGAAUGUAACAGCAUGAAUCUUGAAAGAGCCUGGUUUGAGAACCACUGGAUUAGGAAAAUGAAGCUACCUCUUCACUGACAUAGAAAAGAGAAAAAGUAAAAUGCAGGUAAGUUAAAGAUGUUGAAACCCAGGCAUAAUACGGGGUGGGGGACUUGCAGGGUAC